GGGGAAUAUUGGACAAUGGGCGAAAGCCUGAUCCAGCCAUGCCGCGUGUGUGAAGAAGGUCUUCGGAUUGUAAAGCACUUUAAGUUGGGAGGAAGGGCAGUAAGUUAAUACCUUGCUGUUUUGACGUUACCAACAGAAUAAGCACCGGCUAACUUCGUGCCAGCAGCCGCGGUAAUACGAAGGGUGCAAGCGUUAAUCGGAAUUACUGGGCGUAAAGCGCGCGUAGGUGGUUUGGUAAGAUGGAUGUGAAAUCCCCGGGCUCAACCUGGGAACUGCAUCCAUAACUGCCUGGCUAGCGUACGGUAGAGGGUGGUGGAAUUUCCUGUGUAGCGGUGAAAUGCGUAGAUAUAGGAAGGAACACCAGUGGCGAAGGCGACCACCUGGACUGAUACUGACACUGAGGUGCGAAAGCGUGGGGAGCAAACA
rnacentral:rRNA from 1 species